AGCUGUUCCCCUCUGGAGGUUUUUGACCUUCACACUUAUAAGGGCCCUGGUUUUCCAGUGGCCCUCUUUUUUUGCCCUU
rnacentral:sRNA from 2 species